GCGACCGGCCUGCCGAGCCGCCCUCUGAGGGGGGAAGCGUGGCGGCGAGGCAAAUUUUGGGGUGGAAAAGGGAAAUUUGGGGAAAUGCUGAGGGGAAAAGGGCGGCUGGGCGCAGGCAGCGACAUGGCCUCACUGCGCUGCUCUCCUCCUCACCCCCCUCUGAGUCCCAAACAUCCCCCGCAGGGUCACUGUGGUGACAUAAAGGGAAAGGUCCCAAGAUGUAACGAGAAGCUUCAGGCAGACCUUGAGUGCUCUACCCAGUUGUUACACCUACUGAACCAGAUUAUCUUCCCCAUAUUCAGACUUUUGAGACUGAGGUCUGGAAGAGCAGCAAGCCGAUUCAAAAGCACAAAACUGGUUGUGAAUUUUGAGGAGGAAUCUAGUCUGGUUGCUGCACAGUAGCUUUUUGGACUUUUGAAUGUUCGUUUCUUAUAGUAAGGAAGUUGCUAGGGCUCUGAUCUAUCUUUUCUUAUCAUGGUUAACCAUAUUAAGAUUAAAAACUCUUAACAGGAAAAUAACUCAAAGUUUGAAAUUACAGUUCAGAAACUGAAGAAAGAAAUAUCCCCCUGACACAGCAGGAGCACAAAAUGGGAACAAACAAUAUGUACCAUAUUCAGUUACAAUUGGUUUUAAAUAAUUUAAAAUAUUGAUGUUUGUUUCUGUUCUCAUCUAAUAUGCAUGCCGGACAUGACAAGGUUUGUAAUUGCAAUAGGAAAAAGAAAGACAGACACAAAACUAGCUGUAUAACUAGGAGGAUAAAUUAAUGAAAGAUUUUAUGGGGUGGGCAAUAACUACAUGGAUUGUUAUUCUUUCUAUUUUUUUCUAGGUAAGAGAGAGAAAGAUAAGCUCAAAUGUAUAGCUAGCACUUAAUUUGAAUCAUUGGGAAAUUUUUACUUGUUUGAUGUGUUUCGGUAGUAUUCUCCAUUUUAAUAAACGUUUAUUUCUGACUUA